rnacentral:rRNA from 1 species
GGGCUUGCGGUGCAGCUACACAUGCAGUCGAGCGGUAGAGAGAAGCUUGCUUCUCUUGAGAGCGGCGGACGGGUGAGUAAUGCCUAGGAAUCUGCCUGGUAGUGGGGGAUAACGUUCGGAAACGGACGCUAAUACCGCAUACGUCCUACGGGAGAAAGCAGGGGACCUUCGGGCCUUGCGCUAUCAGAUGAGCCUAGGUCGGAUUAGCUAGUUGGUGGGGUAAUGGCUCACCAAGGCGACGAUCCGUAACUGGUCUGAGAGGAUGAUCAGUCACACUGGAACUGAGACACGGUCCAGACUCCUACGGGAGGCAGCAGUGGGGAAUAUUGGACAAUGGGCGAAAGCCUGAUCCAGCCAUGCCGCGUGUGUGAAGAAGGUCUUCGGAUUGUAAAGCACUUUAAGUUGGGAGGAAGGGCAGUAAAUUAAUACUUUGCUGUUUUGACGUUACCGACAGAAUAAGCACCGGCUAACUCUGUGCCAGCAGCCGCGGUAAUACAGAGGGUGCAAGCGUUAAUCGGAAUUACUGGGCGUAAAGCGCGCGUAGGUGGUUAGUUAAGUUGGAUGUGAAAUCCCCGGGCUCAACCUGGGAACUGCAUUCAAAACUGACUGACUAGAGUAUGGUAGAGGGUGGUGGAAUUUCCUGUGUAGCGGUGAAAUGCGUAGAUAUAGGAAGGAACACCCAGUGGGCGAAGGCGACCACCUGGGACUGAUACUGACACUGAGGUGCGAAAGCGUGGGGAGCCAAACAGGAAUUAGAUUACC